rnacentral:rRNA from 1 species
GACGAACGCUGGCGGCGUGCUUAACACAUGCAAGUCGAGCGGUAAGGCUCCUUCGGGAGUACACGAGCGGCGAACGGGUGAGUAACACGUGAGCAAUCUGCCCUUCACACGGGGGAUAACUCCGGGAAACCGGUGCUAAUACCCGAUACGACCACUUCAGGCAUCUGAUGGUGGUGGAAAGUUCCGGCGGUGAAGGAUGAGCUCGCGGCCUAUCAGCUUGUUGGUGGGGUAAUGGCCCACCAAGGCAACGACGGGUAGCCGGCCUGAGAGGGUGACCGGCCACACUGGGACUGAGACACGGCCCAGACUCCUACGGGAGGCAG